GGGUUGUGAGGUUAAGCGACUAAGCGUACACGGUGGAUGCCCUGGCAGUCAGAGGCGAUGAAGGACGUGCUAAUCUGCGAUAAGCGUCGGUAAGGUGAUAUGAACCGUUAUAACCGGCGAUUUCCGAAUGGGGAAACCCAGUGUGUUUCGACACACUAUCAUUAACUGAAUCCAUAGGUUAAUGAGGCGAACCGGGGGAACUGAAACAUCUAAGUACCCCGAGGAAAAGAAAUCAACCGAGAUUCCCCCAGUAGCGGCGAGCGAACGGGGAGCAGCCCAGAGCCUGAAUCAGUGUGUGUGUUAGUGGAAGCGUCUGGAAAGGCGUGCGAUACAGGGUGACAGCCCCGUACACAAAAAUGCACAUGCUGUGAGCUCGAUGAGUAGGGCGGGACACGUGGUAUCCUGUCUGAAUAUGGGGGGACCAUCCUCCAAGGCUAAAUACUCCUGACUGACCGAUAGUGAACCAGUACCGUGAGGGAAAGGCGAAAAGAACCCCGGCGAGGGGAGUGAAAAAGAACCUGAAACCGUGUACGUACAAGCAGUGGGAGCACGCUUAGGCGUGUGACUGCGUACCUUUUGUAUAAUGGGUCAGCGACUUAUAUUCUGUAGCAAGGUUAACCGAAUAGGGGAGCCGAAGGGAAACCGAGUCUUAACUGGGCGUUAAGUUGCAGGGUAUAGACCCGAAACCCGGUGAUCUAGCCAUGGGCAGGUUGAAGGUUGGGUAACACUAACUGGAGGACCGAACCGACUAAUGUUGAAAAAUUAGCGGAUGACUUGUGGCUGGGGGUGAAAGGCCAAUCAAACCGGGAGAUAGCUGGUUCUCCCCGAAAGCUAUUUAGGUAGCGCCUCGUGAAUUCAUCUCCGGGGGUAGAGCACUGUUUCGGCAAGGGGGUCAUCCCGACUUACCAACCCGAUGCAAACUGCGAAUACCGGAGAAUGUUAUCACGGGAGACACACGGCGGGUGCUAACGUCCGUCGUGAAGAGGGAAACAACCCAGACCGCCAGCUAAGGUCCCAAAGUCAUGGUUAAGUGGGAAACGAUGUGGGAAGGCCCAGACAGCCAGGAUGUUGGCUUAGAAGCAGCCAUCAUUUAAAGAAAGCGUAAUAGCUCACUGGUCGAGUCGGCCUGCGCGGAAGAUGUAACGGGGCUAAACCAUGCACCGAAGCUGCGGCAGCGACGCUGAUGCGUUGUUGGGUAGGGGAGCGUUCUGUAAGCCUGCGAAGGUGUGCUGUGAGGCAUGCUGGAGGUAUCAGAAGUGCGAAUGCUGACAUAAG
rnacentral:rRNA from 1 species